rnacentral:rRNA from 1 species
AUUGAACGCUGGCGGCAGGCCUAACACAUGCAAGUCGAACGAACCCUUCGGGGUUAGUGGCGGACGGGUGAGUAACACGUGGGAACGUGCCCUUUGGUUCGGAACAACUCAGGGAAACUUGAGCUAAUACCGAAUGUGCCCUUCGGGGGAAAGAUUUAUCGCCAUUGGAGCGGCCCGCGUCUGAUUAGCUUGUUGGUGAGGUAAAGGCUCACCAAGGCUACGAUCAGUAGCUGGUCUGAGAGGAUGAUCAGCCACAUUGGGACUGAGACACGGCCCAAACUCCUACGGGAGGCAGCAGUGGGGAAUCUUGCGCAAUGGGCGAAAGCCUGACGCAGCCAUGCCGCGUGAAUGAUGAAGGUCUUAGGAUUGUAAAAUUCUUUCACCGGGGACGAUAAUGACGGUACCCGGAGAAGAAGCCCCGGCUAACUUCGUGCCAGCAGCCGCGGUAAUAC